ACGACCUUACUUGAACAGGAUCUGUUCUAUAGGCUCGUACCGUUGCAUCCUUGACUAAUAAGGAGGCAAGCACUUAAGAUUGGUUGAUGACAUCUGACCUGUGUGCCAAAGCGUGAUUAACGGCUUGGAUCAGCUGCUGGUUCUAUGGCUGUAGAUGGAUGAUCGUUCCUGUUCAGCCUAGCUGACACAGACAGGGUGGCUCACAGGUUGUCUGACAAGUC
rnacentral:snoRNA from 1 species